UCAAAGGCUCAGGGGCUACGCAGCAGAGGAGCGUGGCCCACUCAGACUUCUGAAGACUAGUCGGAAUAUGUAAGGAAACUACUCCAUCUAGGCCGAGUAGGAUUCUGUAACCGAACCCGACUAGGUUUCUACCAUGUAACCUUGCUCCCCUGAUCAUAUAAGGGCGGGCAGGGACCCCCUGCAGACAACUCAACUCAUCCAAGUUCAAUACAAUCAACAUACAGGACGUAGGGUAUUAUGCGAUCUAGCGGCCCGAACCUAUCUAAAUCGUGUUCCUUGCAUCACCAUCGACUCCUUGAUUCUCG
rnacentral:lncRNA from 1 species